GGGUUAAGUAUGAACAAGGGAGAAACAUGAGGGGUUGAAAAUGGGCAAAGAGAAAGGCAAAAUAUAAAACAAAAUUAAAAAUCACACAACCCAUUUAUGGGCGUGUGUGUGUGUGUACGAGCAGAGGAGAAGAAAAGAGGGGGAGCCCUUCUCAAACCCUAAGCAACGAAUUGGAAGGAUUCUGGCCGAAAUCGAACCUGCAUGAACCUUAAUAGUGAUAAUCUAAGCAAGAUGUAACCAAGGAACGUGUCAAGGAGAGCUCAAGCAUAGGAGGAUAACGGGUCAAGAUAAGGCAAGGUGAUAAAUACACUUAUUGGAGUACUCAAGGUUAGUCAGAUCAUUAUUAUUACCAUGGGAGAUAAGUGGACAACGAUCGAGUUGAAGACCAUGGAUUGCACGGGGAAGUGGCAAUAUAGAUGUAAUUAUAUGUUAGUGUAGUUUUUGGUCUAUAACGAAGGAUGUAUUUAAGUUAAAGAAAGAUUGAUUUAAAUGAUUUAAGGCACAUUAGAACAACUAUAAAGGAAGAAAUUUUAUA